rnacentral:rRNA from 1 species
AACGAACGCUGGCGGCAUGCCUAACACAUGCAAGUCGAACGAGACCUUCGGGUCUAGUGGCGCACGGGUGCGUAACGCGUGGGAAUCUGCCCUUCGGUUGGGAAUAACUGAGAGAAAUUUCAGCUAAUACCUUAUAAUGUCUUCGGACCAAAGAUUUAUCGCCGAGGGAUGAGCCCGCGUAGGAUUAGGUAGUUGGUGGGGUAAUGGCCUACCAAGCCGACGAUCCUUAGCUGGUCUGAGAGGAUGAUCAGCCACACUGGGACUGAGACACGGCCCAGACUCCUACGGGAGGCAGCAGUGGGGAAUAUUGGACAAUGGGCGAAAGCCUGAUACAGCAAUGCCGCGUGAGUGAUGAAGGCCUUAGGGUUGUAAAGCUCUUUUACCCGGGAUGAUAAUGACAGUACCGGGAGAAUAAGCUCCGGCUAACUCCGUG